CUGCCCAGUGACAACUGUUUAACGGCCGCGGUAUCCUGACCGUGCAAAGGUAGCAUAAUCAUUUGUUCUCUAAAUAAGGACUUGUAUGAAUGGCCACACGAGGGUUUUACUGUCUCUUACUUCCAAUCAGUGAAAUUGACCUUCCCGUGAAGAGGCGGGAAUGCAUAAAUAAGACGAGAAGACCCUAUGGAGCUUUAACUAACCAACCCAAAGAAAAUAAAUUUAACCAUUGAGGAACAACAACAAUCUCCAUGAGUUGGUAGUUUCGGUUGGGGUGACCUCGGAGAAUAAAAAAUCCUCCGAACGAUUUUAAAGACUAGACCUACAAGUCAAAUCACUCUAUCGCUCAUUGAUCCAAAAAUUUGAUCAACGGAACAAGUUACCCUAGGGAUAACAGCGCAAUCCUAUUUAAGAGUCCAUAUCGACAAUAGGGUUUACGACCUCGAUGUUGGAUCAGGACAUCCUGAUGGUGCAACCGCUAUCAAAGGUUCGUUUGUUCAACGAUUAAAGUCCUACGUGAUCUGAGUUCAGACCGGAGCAA
rnacentral:rRNA from 1 species